CCUACGGGUGGCAGCAGUGAGGAAUAUUGGUCAAUGGACGAGAGUCUGAACCAGCCAAGUAGCGUGAAGGAUGACUGCCCUAUGGGUUGUAAACUUCUUUUAUAUGGGAAUAAAAUGUUCCACGUGUGGGCUUUUGUAUGUCCCAUAUGAAUAAGGAUCGGCUAACUCCGUGCCAGCAGCCGCGGUAAUACGGAGGAUCCGAGCGUUAUCCGGAUUUAUUGGGUUUAACGGGAGCGUAGGUGGUUUGUUAAGUCAGUUGUGAAAGUUUGCGGCUCAACCGUAAAAUUGCAGUUGAAACUGGCAGUCUUGAGUACAGUAGAGGUGGGCGGAAUUCGUGGUGUAGCGGUGAAAUGCUUAGAUAUCACGAAGAACUCCGAUUGCGAAGGCAGCUCACUGGACUGCAACUGACACUGAGGCUCGAAAGUGUGGGUAUCAAACAGGAUUAGAUACCCUGGUAGUC
rnacentral:rRNA from 1 species